CUUGGGAGCGGAGGAUCAUUACCG
rnacentral:rRNA from 1 species